UUCUGUUCACAGUUCUGGCAGUGGUUAUUUUGAAGAGUAGCAAAACAGUCCCUGAUGUUGCCCUUCCGGCCUGGAAUUGGCAUUCUCUCUUUAUAAGCAUGACAUUUAAGGCCACACAAAACAUAAAUGCUCUGUGUGCUUUGCUCAUGCUGCUUAAUGCUUUCUCUUCCCCAGGGCCAAGAUGAGCUGCAGCCACCGCAAAGGCCACCUCGCCUGGGGAGUUUUGUACUACUUGCAGUGAUUUACAACCUCAAACACAACCACAAGCCUCUGUUUGUACCUUCUCUAUGGGCUGUAAGUGCUUUCUGGAAAUAGCUUUAAAUGCAUCAUCACUGUGAGCAUUCUUAUUGCUCCAGGCCAGCGGGAUGGAGCAUCAUUGGAAGUUCAGGCUUGUCAAUUUAAAAGCUUGAUUUGAAAAGUCACCGGAAAAAUAAAGAGGUUUGUUGCACUGGUGCUUCAUACACCACUGGACAGUCUUUGUUUUCCACUUGAGGUUCUCAUGAGCGCUGAUAGUUCAACCUUCUAAAUCCAGCCCACCAGAUCACAAAAGCUAUUCAGUGAAUAUUUAUUCUUCCCUUUGUGAGAGCUUGAUCUCCAAACUGACACAAGCAGUUUCUUAAUUUAUCUGUGAAAACACCAAAGUCCCAGGACAGUUUCAAAUGGAGACUAAUUCUGUUUAGAGAAGAUGUGGCUGACAGCUUAGUCUGCCUGUGCAACCUAAGCAUUGCAAUGCCCACAUAGACUAUGAGAAGACUUGUCAAAUAGUGUUAGAUUAAAUGAAAUUAAUUAAUUGAAGAACUUUUCUGAUUUGCAAAUCAGUCACCAAAUAUCAGGGGUCUGCUUAAAUUUUUUUCACAGUUUCCUGAUGAUUGUUUGGGUUAUUUUGAAAGUAUUAAUAGCUCCUUCUAAGUGGUGGUGUACAUUUUUAUAGAGUGACAAGUGGGAAGAUGGGGGCAAAAAAACAUUAUCAUUAUCAUCAUCAAAUGCUUUUCAGAUCAGCAGAUCAGUAACAUACCCAUGGAUCAGGCUAUUAUCAGUCUGUAUUUUCUACCCGCUAGCAACUUCCCUUUUUUUUUUUGACCUCUUUUGAAUUUUAUCAGAAUGAAAAUGUUAUUUUCAGUACUUCAUGAAAUGAAAUGUCAAAAUGCGCACCUUUCAUUUUCAAGUGAAGGUAACCUUAAUAUAGCUGUAUGCGCGUGUUUAUUCCUUCAGACCAAACAGCUAUGAUUGCUGAUGCAUGUGGUAGUUUAACCCUCGAGUGUAAAACUAGCUUAACUUAGCAGUUAGAGGCUGCUGUGACUUGGGGCUGUUAGUUACAGCAUCUUCCUUGCAUACACAGUUAUUUCUGCUCACUUUGUGUCAGAGAGAGAUGCAAUGGGCAGGUAACACAGAAACUGGGCUGGUUUUGGGUGCAGAGCCAGCUCAGCCUCCUCCUCACUGCUGGAAAAAAGCAUAAAUCACCUCAAAGACACGCUACUUUGUAAUGUGUUAUUGAGCAGCAUUCCUUGCAGUUCAGAAAGCUUCAUCUCCUCUAAAACUCACUAGUAUAGAUUAGUUGGAUCUUAGAGUAAAGCCUUAAUAGCUGCCAGUUAGUAUUUUUCCUACUGGGGAGAUUGAAAAUGAUUCUUCAUUAGAUUUCAGAAAUGCUUUUUGAAAACUUUCCCUUUUCUUGCCUUUCUGCUGGCAUAUCUUGUGUUUCUGCCUUUGAAUUUACAGGUAUUCCCUAUGUCAUUCCACCUGCUGCAUGAAUUCCCUACAGCAACGAGCUUAUGGUUGGCAUUGAGAUGGGCUUCCCUUCUAUUUCUAUUUCUCUUCUGUUUCUUUUUCCAGACUAACUUUCUUUCUGCAAAAUGGACUUGUGCUGUUGGAUACCUAAUCCCCUGUUUGUAAGCAAGUCUUAAUUAUCUGCUUCUUUCCUGUUUGCUUUUUGAAAUAAGUAUAAUAAAACCAGUAACCUCUCCAGUAUGUGUCUGUACUUCAGUACACGAUGCUCAUGAGCGUUUUGUCAUCUACACAAGGGUCACCCAGGCUGCAACAAUAAUUGAUAUCACAGGAUGAACAGGACAGGCAACUCGAAAGGGGAAUAAAUGGAAUGUGGCUGAAGACGCUUCUUUCUGGUCACUUGGGUCAGAGCUGGUUGGCAUUCCAAACAUCCAGGCAGAAGUAACACAAGUUCAAUCACAAGAAGACCCAUGAACCACAUGACCACAGAAGGACACAUGAUGGCAAUGGCCAGAAUCCAGAUGAGCACAAUACUGGCAACUGCAGUUGCACUGCUCAGCUUCUGCUUGAAUGGGUCAACGAUGCGCCGGAACCUGCAGCAAACAUAGACAUGGAAAAGCCAUUUAAGGAAUGCUGAGUCUUAACAGGCAAGCCUACAAAUGCACUGAAAUUGUAUGGCUUCUAAAAACAUAGAUGGAAUAAUCUCCUCAUCCUGCAUGAACCACUGGAAUUGCAUUGAGAUUCUCUGUUCAAGAGCUGUGUGGUAAAAACAAUAUUAAAAAAAAGGGCGCAUUCACUAUUAAAAUUUCCUCAUUUUAAUCUCCAUAUCAUAGAAUCACAGAAUGGUUUGGGUUGGAAGGGACUUUAAAGAUCAUUCAGUUCCAAUCCCCCUGCCACGGGCAGGGAUGCCUUCUGCCUGUCCAUGUUGCCCAAGCCCCUGUCCAGCCUGGCCUUGAAUACUGCAGGGAUGGAGUAUUCACCACUUCUUUGGGCACCCUGUUCCAGUGCCUCACCACCCUCACAGUAAAGAACUUCUUCCUUAUAUCUAACCUGAACUUCCCCUGUUUAAGUUUAAACCCAUUACCCCUUGUCCUGUCAUUACAGUCCCUGAUGAAGAGUCCCUGUCCAGCACCUUUGGAGGGCCUCUUCAGAUACGGGACAGCUGCUAUGUAUCAGCCUCCUGCUACUGCUACUUCACUGAACCAAAGCAGGUACUAGUGCCUCUGCUAUAUAUCUUCAUAGCUAAGGAACAGUCUAAUUCUAGGCAGGCAUAGCCCAUAUCUAGUGUCUUUAAGAGAUACCAGGGGAGGAGCAAAUUGUCAUGGCUGCUCUUUAGACCCAGCCACAUUCUGAUUUGCUUAGUAGCCUUAGCAGUAAAAUGUACCCAGUUCAUUGCAUUCUUGUGUGGAUUAAUGAAUCAACCUCAGUCUGGUCAAGUGGCAGAGGGAGAUGGAAGAGGCAGUUUGCAGUCUCUGCACCAUCUUACCUGUCAACAGCAAUUGCAACUAGAGUGAAGACAGAGGCAGAAACAGAGACUCCUUGGAUCAUCCCGCUCAUCUUGCAAAUCAGGUUCCCAAAUGGCCACCCUGGAAGGAAACAGGCAAUUGAAAUUCCCACCAGCUCACUGCAGCAUUAUGCUUAUACAAGUAACAGGAAAUUUCCACCCCAGUGCUAAGAAGUUUCUUUGGUUGUGUCAGGCCAUAGCAAGGGUCAGGAAAGCAGAGGUUUUGUAAACAAACGCUUUGCCAAAUGCCUUGGGUGAGUUUCUAAUGUUCCAAAAACCAGCAAAGCAACAUUUCAUAGAGUCAGAGAAUCCCAGGUUGGAAGGGACCUCAAGGAUCAUCUGGUGCAACCUUUCUAGGCAAGCAUGACCUAGACUAGAUGUCCCAGCACCCUGUGCAACCAAAACUUAGAAGUGUCCAGUGUUGGGGAAUCCACCACUACCCCAGUGGAUUUUCACUAUGAGAACAAUGGCUGUUCCCAUUGUGAAAAAUUUUCCUCAUGUCCAGAAACAUCCCAUUUAACAUCCCAUUAAAAGGAGAUCUCAAGACAAGGAAGAGAACUGACCAGCACAGUUGGUUGUUCCUGCAUCUGGCUCAUAGCACCCUCUUUCUAAACAUGUCAUCUGGCAGUGGGAGAAUCCCUUCUGAAAGAUGAGGGAUGUGGAAGUCAGUGAAGACAUCCCCAGUCAGGAGGUGGGUUAGGUGCUUGUCUUUCUUAUCUCUGACUUCCACUGACUUGAACCUGGCCUGGCAGUAUUCAAGGCCAGGUUGGACGGGGCUUGGAGCAACCUGGUCUAGUGGAAGGUGUCCCUGCCCAUGGCAGGGGGCCAGAACUGGAUGAGCGUUAAGGUCCCUUCCAACCCGUUCUGUGAACUCCCUUCAUAGCCCACUCAGAAACAGGCACCCGGCUCUCAGGACCUCAAGGUGAGUCCCCCCUUGAGGUCUUUCCACCAAGGGGUGUGAACCAGCCUACCUGCAAUGAUGUUAUCCAGGAGGGUGGUAGGCAUGCAGAAGAUUCCCACCAGCAAAUCGCUGACAGCCAGGUUUAAGAUGAAAAUGUUUGUGACUGUACGCAUACGUUUGCUCUUCAGCACAAUAAAACAAACCACUCCGUUGCCAACCAUGCAGAGCAGGAAGAUCAGGAGGUAAGAAAUGAUGAAGACAGCUGCCACUAAAGGCUGAUGAAGGUAGAAGUCCACGUAGGAGACAUUCCCUUCUAAGUAGAGGUACUUGUAAGUCCUGUUAUAAUUCAGCAUGUGAGGCCAUUCGAACGGAGAGUUUGAGUCCAUUUUCUUGCUCGUGUUCUAAUGUGCUUCAACAGACAUUUAAAAGAGGUCAUUUUAGUGUGCUUGGAAUUGAUCAGAAGAAAUAUGACUAGUUUGGACAUGCUGUGUGCUGAAAAACAUGCAGAGCUUAUGUAGACUCAUCCCUCUGUGGCUUUUUAACAGGCCAUGUUCUGAGCCUCCCUGGAUAGGAGAAACAGUGACUAAAUGAAAUCUUUGUGAAGUGGCUCAGACCUUCUGCCUGAAUGCAUCCAAAUGCAAUCCCCUUUGAUUGAAAAUGAAAUAUUUUUGUGUACAGUUGGUAUGAGACCACAGUUGAUGUCACUGCCCUGCCCACAAGCUGUGUAGAUCAGGAGAUGAGUCCGCAAACACCAAGGACCACACCGUGUUUAAAACGCAGUGAGGUACAGGGUGUCUGGAUUAAUUUCCUGGCUCUGCUAUUGAAUUCCCAUGGGAUACUGGGGGACUGGUAAUUUCUCCAUGUUGCAGUUUUCCUGCUAUGAAAUGUGAGUAAUACUUGUCCCCCCCAAGGUUUGUUUACACUGUCAAGUAAGUUCCCGUAUUUUAUAUUUUAUUAGAUGACUGUUGUCAAACACUACAAAGCUUUUCUAGAAAAGAUUUGAAGAAUUCUGAACUUUCUUGAUAUUGAAUCAUCUGGGCUGGUGUGAUGGCUUGAACAUAAGGGACGUGAGGCUUCUUGUUUGCCUGGAGCUGAAAGAAUCCAUUUAAGGCAGGUACAGAAUUUGUGUGCCCCACACUGAGUUACUUCCAAAUUAAACUGUUUGAGAUUAACUUCGUAGAUCACAAUCUGUUUUCUUGUCCUGAAGAAACAUCAGGUUACACCAGAUGCUGCACCAAAGUUCUAAAUCAAAUCUUCACAUGGCAAAAUUCCAACAUACAUAUUAUACAACUCACACAGAGAUGGUAUCAGUCUACAUAACAGGCCAACAUGGGCAUCUGGACAUUUACAGCUGAUACCAGAUAACUUGACUUGGAAACAGCAUUCAAAAGGUUUUCCCACAUUUAUUUAUUUUACCUACCAGAUGGAGAUGCCCAAAGAGGCAGGGGGAUGGAGGAGUACAUAACAUAAAAGAACAGCAAAAUUAAUUGGUGGCAGAAGGCAUAAGAUUAAUGCAUGGAUGCAGGUACCUUUAGGACACUUAGAAAUUCCUUAGAAUAAAUGAGAUUUAAAUUAAAGUACCCAAAUCCUGGUGAGUUUGUAUGUGAGGGAAGGGAAGUGCUGGCUACAUCUCUUUUCUUAUGAAAAGGAAGCUGGAGCAGGCCCUGCUUUGUGCUGCUCAGUUUUCAGCUGCCUCCCAUGUACCUGAUGACCAGGCGUGUGCUGCUUUUUUCUCUAUCUGUGGAGUAAUGAUGGAAGGUGACAUCCUGUUGUCACUCUGUGUAGAGCAGCCCUCUCCCAGGAAAUAAAAAUGAGUGUUAGGUGCCAGGGAUUGAGAAUAUUUCUAUUCCAAUGUAUUAAGUGCCAAAUGCUUUAAAUAGCCAAAGAUCAGAGUGAACAGCAAUGGAAAGUGUUUUAACGGCAGUGUUACCGUUCACUUUGCAUACACACAGGAUGAAGAGUAUUGGCAGAAUUCACAGGUAGAUGUUUGACAUUAGUAGCUUAUUCUGUUUCUUUAAUCACAUCCCUGGAUCUGCUUUAUCAGUCCCAGGAGAUGCUGUGUCACUCAAACUCCAUUUGAAGCUCAGCAUCUCUCUGACAGAGCAACCAAUCCCAAGAAUCUGGAUAGUCAGGCCCUCUGCCCUUCUCAGCCUCUAACAAAACUAAAUGUGUAUUUGCUUCUUUUGUUUUGGCUUCUCUGAGGUUCCACCUAAGUUCAUGUUCUCAAUGUUUGUCUGCAAAUAGAACACCCAUAAAUGCAUUCAAUCUUACUAUUAUUAUUGUAAAUGAAUACUAAUUUUCUUCUGUAAUCAUUUGCUUCCCAGGGGUGGUGCUUGAAGAAGGACACUCCAGCAGAUGAGACAGAGGUGGCUUUUUCCUUCCUUGCCUUCUGUAGAUUGGCUUUUUGAGGGCUUUGGGCCCAGGAGCACAAACCCUUGUGGCUCAGUCUUGAGACUUCAAUAUCAGCCAAACACCAGGAUCCAGGCUGAGGCUAAGUAAAUGAUGUGCAGAGACUGUCACCAACACACUGCAGAACCUGGGCUCAGCAAGAUAUAGGCCACAGGCCAGACAGCCUUUUCCCCAGGUCUGGAUGGCAUGAGAAUACCACUGACUGCUUGGAAAUUGCUUUAAGAGCCCUGCAAGCUUGUACAGCAGUAACAGCCACACCACUCCAGGCAGUUUGCUACCUGCUUGUCCCUCCACAGCCUCUUAAAGACCCUGGCCGUACCUUGGCCUUUGGCACUUCUGUACAGAGCCACACCAUCAGCUCCACCAGAUUCAGCAAAAGAGCAAGUCCAGAUGAAUGCAAAAAUCCAUGAGAGUGGCAGAAUGUCACCAUAUGGGGUUUGGCAGGAUGUGGG